GUGCCAGCAGCCGCGGUAAUACGGAGGAUCCGAGCGUUAUCCGGAUUUAUUGGGUUUAAAGGGUGCGUAGGCGGCCUAUUAAGUCAGGGGUGAAAUACGGUGGCUCAACCAUCGCAGUGCCUUUGAUACUGAUGGGCUUGAAUCCAUUUGAAGUGGGCGGAAUAAGACAAGUAGCGGUGAAAUGCAUAGAUAUGUCUUAGAACUCCGAUUGCGAAGGCAGCUCACUAAGCUGGUAUUGACGCUGAUGCACGAAAGCGUGGGGAUCGAACAGGAUUAGAUACCCUGGUAGUCC
rnacentral:rRNA from 1 species